rnacentral:lncRNA from 1 species
GAUAUUUUCAGAAAAAAGAUAUACUUUAGUUUUAUUUUUUUUAAUUUUUAUCAUACAAUAUUAAGAUAAACAAUAUUUGAAAAUAUUAAUGCGCACAAUUAAUAAUAGCUACAGAAGAUAAGCAGAUUUAUAUUUUUCGAUAAUUAUAUAUUAUAAAUUAUUUUUCUGAUAUAAAUUUUAAUAUUAAAGUUUGUAUUAAUUUAUACGCUGUAAUGACUAACUAUAAUAAUAUCUAUCCAUCGCC